GCGCAGCAGGCGCGAAUCUUCCACAAUGGGGGAAACCCUGAUGGAGCGACGCCGCGUGCGGGGAUGAAGGCCCUAAUGGGGUUGUAAAACCGCUGGUUCAGUGGAAAGAACAUCCUCCGGCUGAAUAGGUCGGAGGCCUGACGUUACCACUGCAGAAAGUCCCGGCCAACUCCGUGCCAGCAGCCGCGGUAAUACGGGGGGGACGAGCGUUGUCCGGAAUCAUUGGGCGUAAAGGGCGCGUAGGCGGCGAGGAAAGUCGAAUGUGAAAUCUUGCGGCUCAACUGCAAAACUGCGUUCGAAACUUCCUCGCUUGAGUAUGAGAGAGGUGUGCGGAAUUCCUGGUGUACGCGGUGGAAUGCGUAGAUAUCGAGGAGAACA
rnacentral:rRNA from 1 species